AAAAAAAAAGUAAAAAAG
rnacentral:sRNA from 1 species